rnacentral:misc_RNA from 1 species
AAAGUCGUAACAAGGUCUCCGUUGGUGAACCAGCGGAGGGAUCAUUAAAGAGUUGCAAAACUCCCAAACCAUUGUGAACUUACCUUCAACGUUGCUUCGGCGGGUUGGCUCCGGGUCUCCCGGGGUCCCCCGGCCCUCACGGGCGCCCGCCGGAGGUAUCUAACCCUUGAAUCAUGGCCUCUCUGAGUGAUUUUAUAAAUAAGUCAAAACUUUCAACAACGGAUCUCUUGGUUCUG